rnacentral:rRNA from 1 species
AACGAACGCUGGCGGCGCGCUUAACACAUGCAAGUCGAACGAGAAGGCGUAGCGAAUACGCUUGUAAAGUGGCGAACGGGUGAGGAAUACGUGGGUAACCUACCCUCGAGUGGGGGAUAACCCGCCGAAAGGCGGGCUAAUACCGCGUACGCUUCCGAUCUCGCGGGAUCGGAAGGAAAGCUGUCCCAAGGGGAUGGCGCUCAAGGAUGGGCUCAUGUCCUAUCAGCUUGUUGGUAGGAACGGCCUACCAAGGCAUCGACGGGUAGCUGGUCUGAGAGGACGAUCAGCCACACUGGCACUGCGACACGGGCCAGACUCCUACGGGAGGCAGCAGUGAGGAAUAUUGCGCAAUGGGCGAAAAGCCUGACGCAGCGACGCCGCGUGGGGGA